GAAGAAACUCUCUCGCUCCCUCUCUCUAACCCACUAGAUAGAGACAAUACGAAAAGCAAACAAGAUGGCUCCUAGGGCACAUGAUGGGUCAGCGAAAAGAGAAGAAGAGGAUAAGCCUAUGGAAACCAUGACAAAUAUUCCAACCAAGAAAGAGGUCAAUAAGGGAGCAUGGACGCCAGAAGAAGAUAGAAAAUUAGCCGAGGUUAUUGCAAUC
rnacentral:misc_RNA from 1 species